rnacentral:rRNA from 1 species
ACUCCUACGGGGAGGCAGCAGUGGGGGAAUAUUGCACAAUGGGCGCAAGCCUGAUGCAGCAACGCCGUGUGAGUGAAGAAGGUUUUCGGAUCGUAAAACUCUGUCCUAAGGGAAGAAACAAAUGACGGUACCUUAGGAGGAAGCCCCGGCUAACUACGUGCCAGCAGCCGCGGUAAUACGUAGGGGGCAAGCGUUAUCCGGAAUCACUGGGGCGUAAAGGGGUGCGUAGGCGGCUUAGCAAGCCAGGGGUGAAAGGCAUUGGCUCAACCAAUGUAAGCCUUUGGAACUGUUAAGCUUGAGUGCAGGAGAGGUAAGUGGAAUUCCUAGUGUAGAGGUGAAAUUCGUAGAUAUUAGGAGGAACACCGAGUGGCGAAGGCGACUUACUGGACUGUAACUGACGCUGAUGCACGAAAGCGUGGGUAGCGAACAGGUUUAGAUACCCUGGGAGCACAGAG